UACGUAGGUGGCAAGCGUUGUCCGGAUUUACUGGGCGUAAAGGGCGCGCAGGCGGCCGGCCAAGUCAGGCGUGAAAGCCCCGGGCUUAACCUGGGAAUUGCGUCUGGGACUGGUUGGCUAGAGAUCGGGAGAGGAGAGUGGAAUUCCCAGUGUAGAGGUGAAAUUCGUAGAUAUUCGCAAGAACACCAGUGGCGAAGGCGGCUCACUGGCCCGGUACUGACGCUGAGGUGCGAAAGCGUGGGGAGCAAACAGG
rnacentral:rRNA from 1 species